CCUACGGGGGGCUGCAGUGGGGAAUAUUGCACAAUGGGGGAAACCCUGAUGCAGCGACGCCGCGUGAGUGAAGAAGUAUCUCGGUACGUAAAGCUCUAUCAGCAGGGAAGAAAAUGACGGUACCUGACUAAGAAGCCCCGGCUAAAUACGUGCCAGCAGCCGCGGUAAUACGUAGGGGGCAAGCGUUAUCCGGAUUUACUGGGUGUAAAGGGAGCGUAGACGGCAGCGCAAGUCUGGAGUGAAAGCCCGGGGCUUAACCCCGGAACUGCUUUGGAAACUGUGCGGCUGGAGUGCAGAAGGGGUGAGCAGAAUUCCUGGUGUAGCGGUGAAAUGCGUAGAGAUUAGGAGGAACACCGGUGGCGAAGGCGGCUUACUGGACUGUAACUGACGUUGAGGCUCGAAAGCGUGGGGAGCAAACAGGAUUAGAUACCCCAGUAGUC
rnacentral:rRNA from 1 species